UGUAUCCGUGUUUUGAUUCUGUAUUCGUGCUUUGAUUUAGUGUCUGGUGCUAAUUCCGUAAUAUUUACGCUAAAAGUUUGGUGAAAAGGUUUUUAAUUUUAUAGUCUCCUCACAUAAAAGCCAUGCAGAUUCGAGAAUCUAUUCUGGAACUUCUUUUCGAUUUUCCUUGUAUUGAAAAGUCCUAUCUCAAAUAGCCAGGAAUUGAAAAGGCCGUGAUGUACCUCUACAAGCACCCUCGAGAAUCCAAACUAAACCGAUAGCGCGCUGGAAAAUUGAUAUCCGAAUGGGCUCGACCUAUAUUCAACCUGAGCACCGAUUUCAAAGCGAUAUCACGUGAGGAACGCCAGGAACGAGACUUGCAGCAGGUGUCCAAAAAACGCAAAACCUCGCCGGACCCACAGGAUCAGAGCAGUACCAGCAAAAAGGGCUUACCGUUCACCGAGGCUAAUAAGGGUGUAUUACGAUCCGGAAGCAAAGGAUGGGUACAAUGGGCUCGCGUUCCCAUGCCUUCGGGUAAGGAGUACAUUGUUCGGCCAAAAUAAACAAGUGAUAUUGAUAUGAGUCGGGUAAUUAUUCCUACAUCUUUGAAGCUGCAGUUCUAGAGAAAAAGCGAUAAAAGUAGAAUAAUAUAAGGAUAAUAAAAUUAGGCUGCAAAAAUGGACUUCGACAUUUUUUAUAUCUCAGAAAAUUUGAGGUUUCUAGUCACAAUAGGAUAUUUCUCCAUCCUCCUUAUCAACUCCUGAAACUGCUUCCGAUUUGUCACACGUAACCUGAAAUAUAUAAUUCUAUCAUAAAUGGAGACGCAAAUCGCACUCAUUUUUUGGCUUCCAUUGUUCGUACUAGUCGAUAGCAAAAGAGGAUACGACUUCAAAAGUCACAAAAUGACAAGUUUUUGACUGCAAUCGCCCACGAGAAUUGAGUGAGUGUUCAUGAGAGUUCAUUCAAGGUAAAAAUCUGUGUAGCGCACUUAAUUAGGUAAGGUCUUCACGCCCAGAAAAUUUCAUUAAGUUCUGAGAGGGUCGAGUUGGUGCGAAAACCGUCUAUUAUUAUUUAGGUCGGUUCUCUUACCCCACAUGUCCAUUCUCCCUUUCUUCCCUAUUUCAUAAGCAGAACUUAGUACCCGUUGAGAACAGAUCAUUACAGGAUCACUACCAAAGGAUCCCGAUGCUACAUCACCUGGCGAUGUAGUUGUUAGGACCCACCACAGGCGCUGUUCCAGACAAGUAUAAUACCGACAAGGCAACGAAGGACCUUUUUUUAUGAUAUAUUGUUCUGUAGUUUUAGCUAACUAAACUUAAGUUCAUAAUUAUAUAGUUACAAUAUAUUUAAAUAGUUUAAAAAU